CCGAGUGAGGGCCCUCUGGGUCCAACCUCCCACCCGUGUUUAUCGUACCUUGUUGCUUCGGCGGGCCCGCCACUUGUGGCCGCCGGGGGGCACCUGCCCCCGGGCCCGCGCCCGCCGAAGACACCAUUGAACGCUGUAUGAAGAUUGCAGUCUGAGAAACUAGCUAAAUUAGUUA
rnacentral:misc_RNA from 1 species